UCUAGCAUCAAAACCUUAAACAAAGCCAACUAACGAUACAGAGAUGAUUUGCAUGGCCCCUGUGCAAGGAUGACACUCAAAUUCAUGAAGCAUUCCAUAUUUUG